rnacentral:rRNA from 1 species
GACGAACGCUGGCGGCGUGCUUAAUGCAUGCAAGUCGAACGGAAAGGCCCUGCUUUUGUGGGGUGCUCGAGUGGCGAACGGGUGAGUAACACGUGAGUAACCUGCCCUUGACUUUGGGAUAACUUCAGGAAACUGGGGCUAAUACCGGAUAGGAGCUCCUGCUGCAUGGUGGGGGUUGGAAAGUUUCGGCGGUUGGGGAUGGACUCGCGGCUUAUCAGCUUGUUGGUGGGGUAGUGGCUUACCAAGGCUUUGACGGGUAGCCGGCCUGAGAGGGUGACCGGCCACAUUGGGACUGGGAUACGGCCCAGACUCCUACGGGAGGCAGGAGUGGGGAAUAUUGCACAAUGGGCGGAAGCCUGAUGCAGCAAAGCCGCGUGCGGGAUGACGGCCUUCGGGUUGUAAACCGAUUUCGCCUGGGACGAAGCGUGAGUGACGGUAAUGGGUAAAGAAGCACCGGCUAACUACGUG